UGGUGGAGCGAUUUGUCUGGUUAAUUCCAAUAACGAACGAGACUCUAGCCUACUAAAUAGUUCGGGGACCCCCACAAAGGGGCCCCGCUUCAACUUCUUAGAGGGACAGGUGGCGUUUAGCCACACGAGAUUGAGCAAUAACA
rnacentral:rRNA from 1 species